GAAUUGAUUCUCUCUCAGAACUAAUCCAUCGUUUGAUUUAUAUUUCCGUUACGUUGGAAUCUAUACAUGACUGUUGACGAUUUGGGAAACCUCUCAAUAGUGGGUUAUUUAUUCUAGGCUUACUUGGUUGUAGCCGGUAAAUUAGUUUCUUCUCAUAAAUGAGUGAUCCCUUACGUCUAUCAAGACAAGGUUGACUACUAACACCCUUUAUUAUGAUUACUAGUAGUUCGUUGUUUGCCCCCAUACAUAACUGUUAGGAUCGACACACACACGCACACGAUUUACGAGUAUAAACAGUAAAGAAUCAACACAGAGAUAUACGUGGUUCCCCAAAACCGGGUACGUCCACGGGAGCGAGAGCGGCUGCUGUUCUUUAUUAUCACAGUAUGAAUUAGGGUUUACAACAUAGAGUAUUUAUAUUGACUCUAUUCUAACCCUAAACUGGUAUUUGGUCUGUAUCCCAAAAAUAUCCCUGUACGAACCCUACCGUAUAACGCCCCCCGCACCCCCCAAUAACAUAUGAGCCAUAGUUCUGACAAUAACUUUAUUUUAUCCUAUUGCCUAGUGGUAGAAUGAUCUUAUGUUAUAGACAAUGAAACGAUCAGCCAACUAGGUAUAGAGAGGUAGCAACGUGGGACAAGAAUAUAGCUUCAUAAUAACUUACUCUAUUUACUUCUCAAUUAUAAUGGGCAAUUAUAAUCGACAGAGAACCCCUUUUUGGAUAAUGCAAACUGUCCUCUAGGAUAAAAUGACUAACUUUGACUACGAGGCUGCUUGAUGCCAGAAAUUAGAACUACACAGGGAUUCCUUUGGACGAUAAUGCUAACCUAUUGAUGCACCUUGCCUACUUUCUGGAUACUUUUAGGGCUAGGUCAUAAAUUCUCUCUUGCCUUACAUAGAGAGGUAUGAACAAAUUGGCUCAAUUUGACGAUGGGGAUGGGUAGCUUGUGUUAUCGUAUCUGCAUUCGGCAAAACCUUGCAAAAACAAUGUCUCUGUCUCUGAUAAACUAAAGUGUCAUUUAAUAGCUAGUUUGCUUCAGUUUCUUCUCUACAGAUUGAAAAUGAAGAUUUGGAGACGAAAAUGAAUAUACUUUUCUGUCUUCAUCCAUGGAUCCUUUCCCCAUACUUGUUCAAUUGAAAAAGUUCAUCCGAUUCUAGAAAUUUGGUUCGGGAUUUUGUAAAUCCAGUUUUUUCAUUUCUCAUCGACCUUAGGAUACUGAUCACGAGAAUGCAUGUGUUUUUCUGGAAUUGUUAAUUGGGAGGGAAAGGGUUAAUUCCAUGUAAUAAUUAAGUUUUGAUCAGAAUAUGAAUUAGCUCAACGCACCUCCUGCUCGUGGCACAAGGAUCAGGUCACACGAAGUGCUCCAACCAAAGGGUCGCAACACAAAGAUAUUUAAUUUGUAUGUUUAUUGAGAGUUCAUGUAUCACAUGUCCCAAAACAAAAGACGAGAAAUGCUUCUAAUGUGGCUGUUAAGCUAUUUCUGUUGAAAGCUCCUAGAUUAUGAGGAGUUGACCAGAUAUUUGAAAUUUACAUGGUUUGGGUCAACUACAUUAAACACAAGGCCAAAGCUGUACUUCUCUAGCAUUUUGCUCUGCCUAUUACUUAUCCAUGUGAUGCUUGGCUGUCAAUUUCUAUACCGGCAUUUCAUUUCAUUACAUAUGUAUCCUUGGAGAUAUCCUGAUGCGCGCCGAGGCUCUUUGUUAUUC